GCACAAGCAGUGGAGUAUGUGGUUUAAUUCGAAGCAACGCGAAGAACCUUACCAGGUCUUGACAUCCGAUGCAUAGCGCAGAGAUGCGUGAAGUCCUUCGGGACAUCGAGACAGGUGGUGCAUGGUUGUCGUCAGCUCGUGUCGUGAGAUGUUGGGUUAAGUCCCGCAACGAGCGCAACCCUUAUUGCCAGUUACUACGUAAGAGGACUCUGGCGAGACUGCCGUUGAUAAAA
rnacentral:rRNA from 1 species